CGCCCCGACGAGACUGAGAUUUUAAUAAAAGUGUUAUUUUUGGGGGGCGGCGACCGUCGUAAUGGCAUCGGAGAUCCCGUCGCCCCUGACCCCCCUCCCCGCUUGACGGGCUAAUUAUUUCGGGUUUGAUGGAGUUGCGGGAUUAUAUCCCCUCCCGGAUGAGGAACUACUUACGAGUUUUUAAUUAAUUUUCGACCCGCCGAAAGCAAUUUUAUGGGAGGUGGAAGGGUUAAGGAGGCGCGCCUAUAUUUUUUUGUUAAAUGGUCCGUUCAAUGUGAAAAUUGCAUGAAAGGACGUCAAUUCGAAGCUCAGGAUUUCAUCCGCGUCGAUAAAAUUAAACAAGUCACUGCGCGUAUUAAAAUUUAACGGAACUGGAUAUUUCUUUAUACCAAAAAUAACAAAAUCGCCAAGUAUUUAGACAGCCAGCAAGAGUGACCUACGAAAUUUUACCAAGAUGGUUAGUAACUAUAAAAGAAAGACCGAGAGGCAAAAAAUGGUACGAAGAAUCAAUGAAACAAGCAAUAAUUAAAAUUGCGAUAAGGCUGUGGGAUUUACUUUCAAUUUUAACUUUAAAUAGCAGAACUUGUGGGAAAGGCUUUUGAAAAAGCAGCUCAAUACCUACUGCGCAUAACUCGUUUCACGCAACUGAUCCCACUAUAUUUACUGAAGCCGAUUUCUUGGCAACAGACCCUACCGAUAUUCCCGACAAUAACCAGGCAGAAGAAAAUACGAAGUAAUCUCAGCCACUUUGUUCAAAGCCACUAAUUAAUUUAGGCGUCGGCGUCGCUUAAAAAUCUGGGCCUGACCACGAUUUACCCAGAGAUUCGCUUGCACUCCAGACUUUUUAAAUAAAAGCGUUAUCGUUUCGCCUGAACAGAUCAUGCCGGUACCAAAAACGUAACGAGCAGAAAGAAUGACCAGAAAAAGAGGUAUAACCGCUAUAAUAACAUCGUCGUCGUAUCAAAAGGAAUUGCAAAUAUCGCAAGUAAACGUUCAACAAGUCAAACGAAAAAUCGUUUUUCACAAUGCAGGCAGAAAUAUGAUAAAAAUAGAAAAAAAAAGAAGACUAAGAAGUUUUUCGAGUCGUCUCCUAGUAAAGAAUAAGACGAGGAGUGUAUUUGUAUUCAACGUCAAGGGAAGGCUGGAUCCAGUGUCUUACAUGAAAACGUUGGGCUCACUGUUCCUGUGCUGACGCUGAAGAUGAAGACGAAAAAGCGGUUUUUACUUGAGAAACAUGCAAGGAUUAUAUGUUUUGUAUUGAGGUCCAUUAUACGGGUGCGGGUGCCGUUGUACCUUCCUAUGACUGCAAAAUGGACCAAAUGAAGUUUUAUGAUUUAUUUUUUUAAAUAAACCGUACUUGUUUAUGUUCAUUUAUGUUUAAUAGGGUACUGAAAGGAAACAAGUGUCAAAAGUGUUGUUCAUCUUUUUUAUCCUGGCCAUAACUUUAAGAAUACCAUUUUGCCUUCUGUUACCCUACUCUUCAUUUUAUUGUUAUUAUUUCAGUUUUUUAUUUAUAUUUUCGCAUUCUACCGAACUGAUUUAUAUAUACAUGCAGGUUACUGCAGAUUGGCGUUUUCGCGAAAGAUGAAAGAAUUUUUUACGCUUACGCUUUCUUGAUUUUUAAUUAUUAGGUGUUAAUCAUCUAUUGCGGCACACUCCCAAGAAUUCACUCCCCUAUCAGACUCAACUUUCGUUAAAAGUCCGUUAUUUUAUGAGAAAGUAAGUUCAGAUCCUCAAGCCUGAGGGUUGCGGAAUCCAGUUUUGAGUACUUCAUUUUUCCAACCGCCGGGUAUCUGCACAAAAUGUGCUCUGACGUUUCCUCAUCUUCCAAGCACAACCGGCACUCGUCAUCUUGGGGUUGCACAUUACAUUGCUAAUAGGGUUGUGUGUUUCUUCACAGGGCAUUUUUAGAAUCGGCCAUGCUUUGACUGUAUUCCUUGUUGAUUGCUGUGAUAUAGCCAACAUCAGCUGGAGAAAUAUUCUGCUCAUUUCCUCUUUAGGAGGUUCCUAAUAUGAGACCGAUUGAUACUUCCGUCUUUUGCUGUUCCCCAAAAAUGGUAACCCCAACGUCUUCAUGCAUUUCGGAGCAAUCAAUGUACGAGUAACGUCCCAGUGCUAUGCGUUCUUACACGGCGCAACACAUAGGUCGAUUUUGAAAAUUAUUUCAAAUUGAUUGAUGUUUUAUUGAUUUUAAGUAAUAAAUAAAGUAGAUAAACUAUCUUUGAUUGUUUCCGCCUUUGGUCAGUGUUUCAAGCAAAGACUGCCUUUUUUACGUCGCGGUUACUACCAAUUUGCAAUAAACCCGCCUCGGCGAC